UUGUUCAAAUUAAUGAUUUUUAUCGGACGGCCAUAAAACAUGUGUUUGUGAGUCCACCGGGGGGCCCGUCAGGGUCGCCCCCGAGGCAACAGAGUCGGAAAACAUUGGGUUGGAGGUCGGGUGUUUCCACCCGGAACUCUUUAAUGAUCCCUCCGCAGGUUCACCUACGGAAA
rnacentral:misc_RNA from 1 species